UUUCCUUUGUAUCCCUUGGUUUCCAUAGAUUUCCAUAAAAUGGAUUGUGGCUGGACCUGAGUUCCUAAGUGAUGUGUUCCUAUUCCGGAUGCCCACACUGGUUCUCAGUUCCAUUUCUGAAUUCCUAAGAAAGAAAAAUCUCAUCUUCCCACUGGGUGCUGCACACCCUCACUCAGACCAACAACAUGGAUCUGGGACAAUGAUACUGCACAGUGCAGCGUGGCGGCCAGGACUGCACGUAUCUAUAAUACCUUAAAAAUAGAAUCCGCACAAGUUUCUCCCCACAAGUGAACAGGGUUGAACAAGCAGGAAGGAAAAACACCAGGAUUGCCAAGAAGGCAUCGCAUUUUUGAUGACACAGCGCAGUUUCCAGCCAGUUGUGGCAUCUUCGUAUGCUGCCUGACCCUUUUAAGGCUUCUUUCCUCUCUUCUCACCUUUGCUCAUUUUUUUCCGUCCCUCCUUUGUAUCCCUGGUCUCUUCCACGUAUAAGCCAAAGCGAAAAUGGCCUUAAUCAUGAAUGAUAACCACAAAGUAGUUUCAAUGACACAUCCGUAUUAGGAAAGGGAUACUACAUAUUUGGAAAUAUGAUUUAAUACUGGUUGUUAAAAAAAAAAAAAAGGAACAUAUAACAACAAAUUAGCAAGCCUUGGAAAGGGCCCAAAUUUUUCUUUAAAAUCC